rnacentral:lncRNA from 1 species
UCCUCUCUUCUCUCCUUUCUCUUUCUCUCUGAGCCUCUCUCUCUCUCUGUCUCUGUCUCUCCCCUUCUCUCUUUCCCCUGCAUUUCUAUAAUUAAGCUCUUAAACCAUGGAGUGUCUCUGCCCUUCAAGUUCCUCUGCGCCCUCUGGGGCACAUGCAGUCCUGAGGCAGCAUUUAGCAGUCUUACUCUACCUCCGGCUCCAAGGACGUUCUUUCCAUUGCUUUGCUGCUGUGCUGUCUAAACCUUGGAGAGGGAAGCCUGGUGGAGCUGAGGUCACAUUCAGGGCUGAACACUCAGGCACUGUCAGCAGUUUGGUAGCCGGCCUGUGAGUGACUUCUAAAAGCCACGCAUUCACUACAAGUUCUGAUUUCAACCCCAUGGUACAGUUAGCCAUAGACCUCACGUCCUCGGGAGACCUCACACCUCAGUAAGCAAUUCAGGUGCUUUAGUUACCAUGAGAUCCUACUGCCCUCGUCGGAUGCUCGAUGCGCUUCCAGUUCAGAGCCAAGGAUAUAAAGGUCUGUGUCAGAAUAAUGGUGAAUCUGCCAGAAUGAGUGCAAGCCAAACACCCCAUUUCUUGGUGCUACAACCCGAAUAAAACAUAUUAGCCGUUCCCUCCAGGAUGUGGAAGGCAGGUGGUGACAAGUUUCGGGAAUCAGUUCUUUUCGUCCACUGUGGAAUCCGGGAUUUGAACCAGGUCACCAGGUUUGAGCAGCAGGCAUGUUUACCAGCUGAGCCAUUUCUUUGGUUCGGGUGCUGAGGAUGGUCUUUGGGAGAUUGUGGAAACUUUAGCAGCCAGAGCACUGCCGGAGGAAGUGCGUCACUGAGGACGGUGGGCUGUACCCUGCUGGAGGAAGAAAAUAAGUAAGAGACUCUUAGGAUGGAAGAAGGAUGAAAACUCAGCCGAGGAAGUUCUUCUUGGGGCUCUGAAUCCUGGGUACUAUUUGGGGAUGCAUUUGCAUUUCUGGAAUCUAUGGGUGUCGAGAUGGUCAGAGAGCUACCAUAUUAGAGCAGAAAAACAUAACAAGGGAAGAGAUGCAACUUAGGGAGAUGACGGAGACAUCUGUCGGCGGACCUGAGUUCCCAGCACCUAAGUCAGGAUGCUCGCGACUUCUGUGAUGCCAGCUCCAAGGGAUCUAACGCCCUCUUCUGGACUCCAGGGAUCCCUGUAGGAUAGAGGAGGGUGAGCGGCAACCUUGGAUACACUCAAACCGCUCGGGAACGGAUGCUCAUCUCACCUGCCAGCCUCCUGCAAUGCCAAGUUGUUCUGCGGCCCAACUGGCGUUGUAACCAAUGAAUUCAAGCCCUGCCAAUCAAACAGCUACCGCAUCAGAAGAAUGGGAACUCUAAGAUACCCCCACCCCUCAUAAAAAGGAAGGAGGCAAGAAAAAGAAGGAGGAAGAAGAAGAGGAGGAGGAAGAAGAAAGAGGAAGAAGAGAAGGAGGAAGAAAGAAGAGGAGGAUGAAGAAGAAAGAGGAAGAGGAGGAGGAAGAGGAGAAGAACAAACCAAGUCUAUUCUGUGUUGUCUAUAUACUCACUGGGUCAUGGCCAAACUCCUAGUGGCCAGCCUCCAAGAGGAAACUGAGACCUCCAGCACCCCUUCCAGAAGCCAUCACCUGUAGAGAGCUCCACUUCAGUAUCCCCAACACUUUUUUUUUUUUAGUUCUCCUUGAUGGCUUCAUCUCUAGGCUGUUCUUUUUUUUGGGGUGGUGAUGGAUGUAGGAGUUGUCAUAGAGGCUUUGUACAUUUCUCUUUCUCAACUGUGUAUCAGCAAUCAUCAAUAACAUUGCAAGGGAAGCUUCCUUGCAGGCUUACCUUUUACCAUGGACCAAUGAUGCUGUCACAUUCCAAGUCCAUCAGGAUGAAUCCAUUCACAUCAGAGCAGCCAUAUUUCACUGGACCUUUGAGACAGCCUCACAGACACCAGCAGGGGGAGCGUGGGCAUGAAGUGUGUUCUCAUGCGCACAGGACCUGGGACUCAGCCGGGAAAGCGGAUGCCAGUGUGACUGUGACAGGCAGAUGAGGCUAUCAGUUGGAAAAGUCAGGUGAUAGAGUCUCGCAGACUCUUACUUCAGGGACAACCACCACAAUCCCGUGGUUAGCUCCAUUUGGCAGCUUGAUCGUGUGCCACGCGUGAAAGAGAUGCUAUGCUAUGCAGCAGGAAUCGAUCUUGCAGGCUGGCCUCCUGAACUGAAAAGCAGGACAGACCCAUGCGUGAAGUCAGGGGCUCCCUGGGGCAUCUAGUAGGCUGCAGGUAUGAGAUAGAGGAUGAAGAAUGCCCGUAAGGGACAAUCAACAUGGGGUUCAUGGGUUCCUCAUUGGCCUUGGGCAUCGUGUUCCUGUUCUUCUCGGGUGACUUACAUGCUGUUCACCCCCUCUCCUGUGCUAACCCAUCCCUUGUGGUGCCCCAAGGAGAUAAGGACCUCUGUUGGCUCCCUCAUUUCUUUCGUGUUUGUGGCUACUGAGGCACAGAGGUUACCUGGUUGCCAUGGUUUCUCACUCUGUGAAUGUCUUUUUCUGCAUAUAAUCAUCAUGAAUGUAUGCAUGUGAAUGUGUACGCACAUACAUGUGGAGGCUGAAGGACAAUCUGGUGUGGCUGCUUGUAUUGCGAAUGCUAAUUAUGUUCCCCAUAAAACUGCAAGGAGCUUCUGGGAACCUGCCCCCAGUUGGUUCUGAUUGGUAAAUAGAGAUGCCAGCAGUCAAUAGCUAGGAAGGACAGACAGAGGCGGGAUUUUAGGACCCUGCCCCCUCUUGGGACCGGAAGCAGAGAGGAGAAGGAGGAGAUCCAUCAGGUUGGAAGAGUGUGGAGUGACGCCAUGCUUGAGAAGAGAGCAGGACAAAAGAGCACGGCCCUGAGGGUUGCCCAACAGGGUCUAGAGCGGCCAAGAUAGAACAUAGAAUUCAGGCGGCAGAGCACCUUGGCUGAACUGUCUUUGAGGACUUUCAUUGGGGCUCCAGCUGAGCACAUCACAAGGUCGAAGUUCACCAGUGACGUCAGUGUCAGUCAGUGUCACGGGGCACCGGUCACCAGCCGUUUGGUGUCUGUGGUCCCAAAGGCUCUGGUGUUUGAAUCCUUGGGCACCAAUUGGUUGUUGGAGGAAGUACAUCACUGAGGGUGGGGCUUGGGAGUUUCUAGCCUUCCCUCAUUUCCGGUCUGUUUUCUCUGCUUCAUGCUUGCAUUUGUGGGUAUAAGCAUGUAGCUUCUAGCUCCUGCCAUUAUGCCUGCAGCUCCCGGCCAUGCCUCCUGCCCAAAGUGGAAUAUGUUUGUGAAACUCCCUGGAAAGACUUGAACAAAUGUCAAUUCAUCCAAGAUGAGGGACUAAUAACAGACUGAGGAUCUUUCACUGAACGUGGAGCCAGACUGGACACCAGCAAGCCCCAGAGACCCUCCUGUCUCCACUCCUUGAAAUGCUAGGGUCACAGG